rnacentral:rRNA from 1 species
UACGUAGGGGGCGAGCGUUGUCCGGAAUCAUUGGGCGUAAAGCGCGUGUAGGCGGCCCGGUAAGUCCGCUGUGAAAGUCCAGGGCUCAACCCUGGGAUGCCGGUGGAUACUGUCGGGCUCGAGUCCGGAAGAGGCGAGUGGAAUUCCUGGUGUAGCGGUGAAAUGCGCAGAUAUCAGGAGGAACACCCGUAGCGAAGGCGGCACUCUGGGCCGAUACUGACACUGAGGAGCGAAAGCGUGGGGAGCGAACAGG